rnacentral:rRNA from 1 species
GACGAACGCUGGCGGCGUGCUUAACACAUGCAAGUCGAGCGGUAAGGCCCUUUCGGGGGUACACGAGCGGCGAACGGGUGAGUAACACGUGGGUGACCUGCCUCUAGCUCUGGGAUAAGCCUGGGAAGCUGGGUCUAAUACCGGAUAUGACCUCGCGGUGCAUGUUGCGGGGUGGAAAGCCUUGUGCGGCUAGGGAUGGGCCCGCGGCCUAUCAGCUUGUCGGUGGGGUGANGGCCUACCAAGGCGACGACGGGUAGCCGGCCUGAGAGGGCGACCGGCCACACUGGGACUGAGACACGGCCCAGACUCCUACGGGAGGCAGCAGUGGGGAAUCUUGCGCAAUGGGCGAAAGCCUGACGCAGCGACGCCGCGUGAGGGA